UACGUAGGGUGCAAGCGUUGUCCGGAAUUAUUGGGCGUAAAGAGCUCGUAGGCGGUCUGUCGCGUCUGCUGUGAAAACUCGGGGCUUAACCCCGGGCCUGCAGUGGGUACGGGCAGACUAGAGUGCGGUAGGGGAGACUGGAAUUCCUGGUGUAGCGGUGAAAUGCGCAGAUAUCAGGAGGAACACCGGUGGCGAAGGCGGGUCUCUGGGCCGAUACUGACGCUGAGGAGCGAAAGCGUGGGGAGCGAACCGG
rnacentral:rRNA from 1 species